rnacentral:rRNA from 1 species
UGGGGAAUAUUGGACAAUGGGGGCAACCCUGAUCCAGCCAUGCCGCGUGUGUGAAGAAGGCCUUAGGGUUGUAAAGCACUUUCAGUGGGGAGAAAGGUGAUUCACCUAAUACGUGAGUCAAUUGAUGUUACCCACAGAAGAAGCACCGGCUAACUCCGUGCCAGCAGCCGCGGUAAUACGGAGGGUGCAAGCGUUAAUCGGAAUUACUGGGCGUAAAGCGCACGUAGGUGGUUUGCUAAGUCAGCUGUGAAAUCCCCGGGCUCAACCUGGGCACUGCAGUUGAAACUGGCAAGCUAGAGUAGGGUAGAGGGGUGUGGAAUUCCAGGUGUAGCGGUGAAAUGCGUAGAUAUCUGGAGGAACAUCAGUGGCGAAGGCGACACCCUGGACUCAUACUGACACUGAGGUGCGAAAGCGUGGGGAGCAAACAG